AAGUGAAGUAGAGGACAGUGGCGGACGGGUGAGUAACGCGUGAGGAACCUGCCUUUCAGAGGGGGACAACAGUUGGAAACGACUGCUAAUACCGCAUGACACAUAGGUGUCGCAUGGCACUUAUGUCAAAGAUUUUAUCGCUGAGAGAUGGACUCGCGUCCGAUUAGCUGGAUGGUGAGGUAACGGCCCACCAUGGCGACGAUCGGUAGCCGGACUGAGAGGUUGACCGGCCACAUUGGGACUGAGAUACGGCCCAGACUCC
rnacentral:rRNA from 1 species